AGUGAACGCUGGCGGUAGGCCUAACACAUGCAAGUCGAACGGCAGCACAGGAGAGCUUGCUCUCUGGGUGGCGAGUGGCGGACGGGUGAGGAAUACAUCGGAAUCUACUCUGUCGUGGGGGAUAACGUAGGGAAACUUACGCUAAUACCGCAUACGACCUACGGGUGAAAGCAGGGGAUCUUCGGACCUUACGCGAUUGAAUGAGCCGAUGUCGGAUUAGCUAGUUGGCGGGGUAAAGGCCCACCAAGGCGACGAUCCGUAGCUGGUCUGAGAGGAUGAUCAGCCACACUGGAACUGAGACACGGUCCAGACUCCUACGGGAGGCAGCAGUGGGGAAUAUUGGACAAUGGGCGCAAGCCUGAUCCAGCCAUACCGCGUGGGUGAAGAAGGCCUUCGGGUUGUAAAGCCCUUUUGUUGGGAAAGAAAUCCAUCUGGUUAAUACCCUGGUGGGAUGACGGUACCCAAAGAAUAAGCACCGGCUAACUUCGUGCCAGCAGCCGCGGUAA
rnacentral:rRNA from 1 species